GAUGAAGAACGUAGCGAAAUGCGAUAAGUAAUGUGAAUUGCAGAAUUCAGUGAAUCAUCGAAUCUUUGAACGCACCUUGCGCUCCUUGGUAUUCCGAGGAGCAUGCCUGUUUGAGUCUCAUGGAAUUCUCAAGCUUACAGUUUUGUUACUGCAAGGCUUGGACUUGGAGGUCGUGUCGGCUCUCGCGAGUCGACUCCUCUGAAAUGCAUUAGUGCGGACGUUACCGGUCGCUUCAGCGUGAUAAUUAUCUGCGCUGCCGUCGACUGGUAUGUGAAGUACGCGCUUCUAACCGUCCUUCACGGGACAAUACAUUGAAACUCUGAGCUCAAAUAAGGUAGGACUACCCGCUGAACUUAAGCAUAUCAAUAAGCGGAGGA
rnacentral:misc_RNA from 1 species